GAGGUUUCCAUGACAACAGCCUGAGCUUGCAUCCAUUACCCACAUCAGAGGCCAAUUGAGAUACUUCCAAGAAACCCAACCGCUUCCUGCAGGGGGAGAGAUGUAUGUAUUGCUUGGUUUAUUGCCGAGCGCCAAGCUAAAUGAACCACGCACAAGGUUAACAAGUAACUCAGGAAGGCUUGCGUAUCUGCAGGAAGACAUUGUAAGACUGUGAACGAGGUGGAAAAUCAGAAGCCGAUACAUAGAACGCAUGCGCAAGCGGAGUGCCUGCCGCAUGCUGCAGUGUGACACAGCAUUUUAAAGCCAAGGGAAGGUGGCUCUUUUGAAAAGUGAACACAGAAAGGGGAUCGGAUGUCAGCAUUGAAGAAUGUCAUUUGUCUCUGUAAUGUAUGCUAUAUUGAUAAAUGCCAUGUGUUGUUUGAGCUCGCUGUGAAGCUGGCUCUGAGAUUGGGGUCGGCCCCUCCCGUUUCAGACUCAGGCAUGUUUGGCUCAAAAUGUCUUCCAAGGCCCCUUGUCUGAGGCUGCGCUGGCCCCACCUCUGUGAAAGGGAGGAAAGAGAACAAAAUAGGCAAAAAUUAAAAACACUGUGCCCUUGCAGACUGCUAGAAGGUGAACCAUUCCCAGCAGAAGAGUGACUAUUGGUUAACCUUAUGAUGUAGCAGUGGCUACAAUGGAAAAGAUUAAAAACCAGAGGUUCAGACAUGGGAAGCUCAGUGAUGGAGAGAGAGAGAGAGAGAGAGAGAGAGAGAGAGAGAGAGAGAGAGAGAGAGAGAGAGAGAGAGAGAGAGAGAGAGAGA